GUGCUUGCUUCAGCAGCACAUAUUCUAAAAUUGGAAUGAUACAGAGAUUAGCAUGGCCCCUGUGCAAAGAUGACACACAAAUUUGUGAAGCAUUCCAUAUUUUU